UGUGUUUGCAUGUCAGAAGGAUCGGGGCUGAGGAUAAUGUGUGUGUGUGUGUGUGUAACCAGGGUGAAACAGCGUUUUUUAGUUGUGUUGAAAUGUCACCAAUGCUGAUUUAAAUGUACCAGUAUAUGUUUAGGUACAUUUGGUAACCUGUUCCUUUGUUGAUGUGUUUUUGUACCUGUACUGUAGCUUUAAGAGAAGUCCGUGUUUUGUGACGUGUGUGUGGCGCCAAAGCUCAGAAGGCUUUUUACUGUCUGAGCGGAGGUAUGUUGUUGUGUUUCUCGUCAUAUUUUAGCAUAUAGGUCGUUUUGUGUACAAUGAAAAUGUUUAAUGUGUAACUAAGUGUGUUGUGAAUUAAGUGUGUGAACAUGUUACAGCGCUGUUUUGUUAGCUAGCACUUAGUAAAUGCACUUUUUGAGAGUUUUUGUUGUGUACAUGUGCGUCCGGGUAUUACAGUGUUUCCUCUUUAUUUGUUUGCUAGGAGGGAAUGUUGGUCCCGACUACGACCGUUUAUACUAUUGACACGUUGGUUUCUUUGGCUCAUACAGAAGCGAAUAAAUGAGAGAAAGCCAGCCUCCUUUGUGGUCCAGUCUCCCAUCCUUCCAUUCAUCCAACAUUCACACCCCCCCAGAACACAACGCAGACGAUUACGCCGUUAACGGAUGUGCACUUCUAUAUAUUAACACAAGAACUGUUGCACACCCGUUACAUUGGUGCCGUGACCUUUCAAGGAUUGGUUUAAAGGACGACAUCACCUCGUUCGCCGAGGAAGCUGCUGCCACUGGCCCUUUGUGGUACUGAGCUUUAAGAGAAGUCCGUGUUUUGUGACGUGUGUGUGGCGCCAAAGCUCAGAAGGCUUUUUACUGUCUGAGCGG